UACGUAGGUGGCAAGCGUUGUCCGGAUUUACUGGGCGUAAAGAGCGCGCAGGCGGUCGUUCAAGUCGCGUGUGAAAGCCCCCGGCUCAACUGGGGAGGGUCACGCGAUACUGAUCGACUGGAAGGCAGGAGAGGGUAGUGGAAUUCCCGGUGUAGUGGUGAAAUGCGUAGAUAUUGGGAGGAACACCAGUGGCGAAGGCGGCUACCUGGACCGGUUCUGACGCUGAGGCGCGAAAGCGUGGGUAGCAAACAGG
rnacentral:rRNA from 1 species